rnacentral:rRNA from 1 species
UACGUAGGGAGCAAGCGUUGUCCGGAAUCAUUGGGCGUAAAGCGCGCGUAGGCGGCCCGAUAAGUCCGCUGUGAAAGUCAACGGCUCAACUGUUGGAUGCCGGUGGAUACUGUCGGGCUAGAGUACGGAAGAGGCAAGUGGAAUUCCUGGUGUAGCGGUGGAAUGCGCAGAUAUCAGGAGGAGCACCUAUAGCGAAGGCAGCUUGCUGGGACGUUACUGACGCUAAGGCGCGAAAGCGUGGGGAGCGAACAGG